rnacentral:sRNA from 1 species
GAAUGUACGUGCGUAUAUACAAUUGCCAUUAAAAAUUAAAAGUUGAAAUUGUAUGGAAUGUUGUGCGAGAUUAAAAAACGCGUAGUAAAGCUUCUAUUACACGAUCAGCAGUGGAAUUCAGUGAAGAAAAUGACUAGAGAUUCGCAAUACAACAUAAAAAACGGGAUAAAAUUCAAAUCAAAAAUCAAUGACAAGGAAAUAAGAGACAAUGAGAUAUUAAUAUCUUUCGAUGUUGUAUCUCUAUUUCCAAGCAUACCGGUUAAUUAAGCCAUAAACACUAUAACUGAAAAAUGAAAUGACAUCCAGGAGCACACACCAAAGGUUUUACUUAUAGAAUUGUUAACAUUAUGCAUAAAGGGUUCUAGAUAUUUUACAUACGAUGAGAAAUUGUAUGAGCAAAAGAAAGGCAUGCCAAUGGGUUCGCCCAUCUCUCCGAUAAUCGCCGAUAUUGUAAUGGAAACCUUACCAGACGCUUCAAUUGAGAAAAUGACAACAAAACCAAGAUUUCUGACCAAAUACGUGGACGAUAUAUUUUGUGUAUUGGAAAGAACGGAAGUGGAAAAUACUCUACAAGUUCGUAAUUCCUUCCACCCGCAAAUCCAGUUCACAAUGGAAUGUGAAUCAAACAACAAAUUGCCAUAUGUUGGCAUCGUCUUCCACCGACAUCAUAAUAAGUUAAAAUUAAAUUGGUAUCAAAAAGAUACAGCAUCUGGGAGACUUAUAAAUUAUUAUUCAAAUCAUCCGAGAAGAAUAAAAAUAAAUACGGCUACUAAUUUCAUCGACAGAGUACUAAAAAUCAGUGACAAAAUAUAUUAUCUAGAAAACGAAAGGAAACUUCAACAAAUACUUCGAUUAAAUGACUUCUCAAGCAAAGCUAUUGAGGACCUUAUAAAAUUCGUCAAGAAUAGAACAGCGAACAACGAAAUUGAACCAACAUCAAAAAUCUCCAAGAAAACGAAGUAUAUUCCAGGGUUUUCGGAAAGGCUUACCAAUCCCAAUAAAUACAAUAAAGAAAAAUACCAGCUUGCUUUAAAAGGCCACAACACACUAAAAGGAGGACAAAUCAAAUGUAGUUUAUAAGAUUAAAUGUAAUGGGGAUGACAUUAAUUCAUGUCAAUUAACAUAUGUAGGAACAACCAAAACUAAAUUGAAAACAAGAUUAUCAUCUCACUAAUCUGUCCAGAAAUUGAAAGACAAACUUUUAGAACAAAAAACCGCACUUGCAACACAUUGCACUUUAACAGGGCAUACACCAAAUUUUAAAGACGUAGACAUACUAGCACAAGAAUCCAAUCAGAAAAGACGAUUUACGUUAGAAAUGUUACAUAUUAUUGACACCGCUACAAACAAACGUAUGAACUUAAAGAAAGACACAGACAAUUGUGCACAAAUUUACAGGAAUUUGGUAAAAAAAAAUGAAAGCACUUUAGUCGAACUUGUGCGCUCUAAAGGAAAAGUCGAUUGUUUUGCUUCAAAAUGCAAUUAUUUUCAAAUGUAAAACCCUAAUGAAGAUCACCGGAGGUGGUCGAAAUAUUGGUAAACAUUUUGUAAAUUUUUCGAUGACCUCGAGCCAAACCAAGAAGACAAAGUUAGAAAAUCGUUCAAUUAAAAAGUGAUAACAGAAAAUUUAACGAAUUUGGUAUUCAGUAGUCACUUUUAACGAAUCGACAUUGUUAAAAUCAGCUGUCGCUAUCGAAUAGAAAUUCGUUAACUAGAGGACGGACAAUUUUUUUGUGUUUACGAAAUAAAUAAAGAUAAAUAUUUACGAUGGCUUUAGAGUA